GAGUUUGGUUUUUGAGAAAACAGAGAGAGAUUGUGAUUCCACGAAGACUCCUAACCACAUUGGGGAUCUAUAGGGAGCAUUGGGAAAAAAAUUGGAAAUCUCACAAAGCGUUGUGCGAGGGACGAUCUUACCAAGUUUGGUCUUCUUCUUCCAUGCCCCGAUCGUACCUGUUCUGUCUAGCUUCUCAAAUGCUUCCAUUGUCAAUUUCUCUCUGCCAUCUUUUUCUCUUCUACACUCAAACACUAGACCACUAAACAAUCCAAAAUCAAUACAAAUAUAGAAUGUAAAUUGAGGUAUUGUUAAGUUUAAUUAAUACUCCUUCGUUGGGAAAAAUAGAAAUCUCAAGAAGGAUUAUGCUAGGGACGAUCUUACGAAGUUUGUUCUUCUUCAAGACCAUGAAGAUCUUUC
rnacentral:lncRNA from 1 species